CUAAUGCUAACUAAGGCAUUUCAAUGUUUACGUCGUGUAUAAUAUGUACUAAUUUUGAGUAGUAUGAGAUUUUGACAGUAAAAUAUUAGCCACAUAAAAUUAUACAGUAAUGGACCUCUUAGUGUUAUUGUGCAGUGCCCCACUCCCCAAAAUACAUAUCCACAGACCACCGAAGUCUGUUGGAUCUAAAGGUAAAGUGUCACUUUGUAGCAUGUCCUUAAAUUUUCAUCCAGUUUAUUCCAUAAGAAAGUGAAAGAAACCAUUUAUUUGCUUUUUAUAAUCUUUGUUUUUAAAGGGCAGUUAUUUUCAUGAGUUUGCAGUAUGUAAGACCUUGUCACUGAGUAGCUUAUUUGCUGGACAUACAGCAUCUUGGGGAUAAGCUGUUUCUGGACAGUUAUCUUGACUAAACUUCAGGGCCUGUAUCCACGAAGCAGCCUCAGACUAAAAGUAGCUCCCAGUGACAUUAUUCUAAGAACAAUCUUAGAAUUCCUCAAAUUCUUAGACAUUUCUUAGAAUUUUCCCUUGGUUUCUCUUUAUCUGUUUGCACUGACAAAGGAGAAGCUCUCACCAAUCUCAUUGUACAGUUUGAAUAAUGGCAAUAAAAGGCAUUUUAUUCUAUUCUAAACUCUGUAACAUUCAUACAUUUAUUAAUAUCAAAGUAAGCGAUGUCAGCAGCCAUAGCCUAAACUCACCUGUUUAAGAAGAACUUGGCUUGUGUGCUGCAAUCUCUGCUCUUGCUUUGGAUUGCAGUACGUACCACACCUCGUAGUUUGAU